UAGACCGCCUGGGGAGUACGGCCGCAAGGUUAAAACUCAAAUGAAUUGACGGGGGCCCGCACAAGCGGUGGAGCAUGUGGUUUAAUUCGAUGCAACGCGAAGAACCUUACCUGGUCUUGACAUCCACGGAAGUUUUCAGAGAUGAGAAUGUGCCUUCGGGAACCGUGAGACAGGUGCUGCAUGGCUGUCGUCAGCUCGUGUUGUGAAAUGUUGGGUUAAGUCCCGCAACGAGCGCAACCCUUAUCCUUUGUUGCCAGCGAUUAGGUCGGGAACUCAAAGGAGACUGCCAGUGAUAAACUGGAGGAAGGUGGGGAUGACGUCAAGUCAUCAUGGCCCUUACGACCAGGGCUACACACGUGCUACAAUGGCGCAUACAAAGAGAAGCGACCUCGCGAGAGCAAGCGGACCUCAUAAAGUGCGUCGUAGUCCGGAUUGGAGUCUGCAACUCGACUCCAUGAAGUCGGAAUCGCUAGUAAUCGUGGAUCAGAAUGCCACGGUGAAUACGUUCCCGGGCCUUGUACACACCGCCCGUCACACCAUGGGAGUGGGUUGCAAAAGAAGUAGGUAGCUUAACCUUCGGGAGGGCGCUUACCACUUUGUGAUUCAUGACUGGGGUGAAGUCGUAACAAGGUAACCGUAGGGGAACCUGCGGUUGGAUCACCUCCUUACCUGAAAGAAGC
rnacentral:rRNA from 2 species